GCCUGCGACUAUAUUAUAUUGUGCCAUAAUUCUACCUUCUCAAAUUCUAAGCAGGGUUGGGCUAUAUCAGUAUUUGGAUGGGAGACCGCCUAGGAACAAUUAGGUGCUUCAGGAA
rnacentral:rRNA from 1 species